GAAAUGCGAUAAGUAAUGCGAAUUGCAGAAUUUCCGUGAGUCAUCGAAUCUUUGAACGCACAUUGCGCCCAUUGGUAUUCCGAUGGGGCAUGCCUGUCCGAGCGUCAUUACGCACCCUCAAGCCCGGCUUGUGUGAUGGGCCCCGGCGUCUCGUUCGCGAGACGGGCCCGAAAGGCAGCGGCGGCGUCGACCCGAUGAGCCCGAGCGUAUGGGGACUUCUGUCACACGUUCGCGGUGCGGACCGGCGCCUGCUUGACUUUUCUGAUUAUCCAGGUUGACCUCGGAUCAGGUAGGGAUACCCGCUGAACUUAAGC
rnacentral:misc_RNA from 1 species